rnacentral:rRNA from 1 species
UGGCUCAGGAUAAACGCUAGCGGCAGGCCUAACACAUGCAAGUCGAGGGGUAACAGGGGAUUUCGGUUCCGCUGACGACCGGCGCACGGGUGAGUAACGCGUAUACAACCUACCCAUAUCAGGGGGAUAGCCCGGAGAAAUCCGGAUUAAUACCCCAUAAUAUUUACGAGAGGCAUCUCUUGUAUCUUAAACCUUCGGGGGAUAUGGAUGGGUAUGCGUGCCAUUAGUUAGAUGGUGAGGUAACGGCUCACCAUGACAAUGAUGGCUACGGGGUCUUAAAGGAUGGUCCCGCACACUGGUACUGAGACACGGACCAGACUCCUACGGGAGGCAGCAGUGAGGAAUAUUGGUCAAUGGAGGCAACUCUGAACCAGCCAUGCCGCGUGAAGGAAGACUGCCCUAUGGGUUGUAAACUUUUUUUUUUUUGGAAGAAAAGCAUCUACGUGUAGAUGUCUGCCGGUACCAUAUGAAUAAGCAUCGGCUAACUCCGUGCCAGCAGCCGCGGUAAUACGGAGGAUGCGAGCGUUAUCCGGAUUUAUUAGGUUUAAAGGGUGCGUAGGCGGAAAAUUAAGUCAGUGGUGAAAUCUUGUAGCUUAACUACAAAACUGCCAUUGAUACUGGUUUUCUUGAGUAUAGUUGAGGUAGGCGGAAUGUGUAGUGUAGCGGUGAAAUGCAUAGAUAUUACACAGAACACCAAUUGCGAAGGCAGCUUACUAAACUAUAACUGACGCUGAUGCACGAAAGCGUGGGUAGCGAACAGGAUUAGAUACCCUGGUAGUCCACGCCGUAAACGAUGAUUACUGGUUGUGCGCGAUACACAGUGCGCGACUGAGGGAAACCAUUAAGUAAUCCACCUGGGGAGUACGUUCGCAAGAAUGAAACUCAAAGGAAUUGACGGGGGCCCGCACAAGCGGAGGAACAUGUGGUUUAAUUCGAUGAUACGCGAGGAACCUUACCUGGGCUUAAAUGUAGAGUGCAUAAAUUGGAAACAGUUUUUUCCUUCGGGACUCUUUACAAGGUGCUGCAUGGUUGUCGUCAGCUCGUGCCGUGAGGUGUCGGGUUAAGUCCCAUAACGAGCGCAACCCCUAUCGUUAGUUGCCAGCGGGUAAUGCCGGGGACUCUAGCGAAACUGCCGGUGUAAACCGAGAGGAAGGUGGGGAUGACGUCAAAUCAGCACGGCCCUUAUGUCCAGGGCUACACACGUGUUACAAUGGUCGAUACAAUGGGCAGCUACACAGCAAUGUGAUGCUAAUCUCUAAAGCCUGUCCCAGUUCGGAUUGGAGUCUGCAACCCGACUCCAUGAAGUUGGAUUCGCUAGUAAUCGGAUAUCAGCAAUGGCGCGGUGAUACGUUCCCGGGCCUUGUACACACCGCCCGUCAAGCCAUGGAAGUUUGGGGUGCCUGAAGUUCGUAACCGCAAGGAGCGACCUAAGGGUAAAACAAAUGACUGGGGCUAAGUCGU